GCCCCUUAUCUGUCAUCAACUCUGAUCUUCUAUAUAUUCAGCAGCGAACUAGGAUGUUUUUAGAAGUAGUUUUUAGUAGAAAAGCAGAAGAAUUAUAAGACUGUAUUGUGUUCAGUUCUUCGUAACAAGAAUGAUGUGGUCUAAAAACUACUGGAACUUUGCCCUGCAGAUUUUAUCAUUUCUACUGCUCUUCAUUCAUAGUGACGCUUGGGCACAUUAUAAUUGGGUCGUGAAAGAAGCUACAUAUACAAGGCUGUGCAGCACUAAGAAGAUAUUGACUGUUAAUGGAAAAUUUCCUGGACCAGUUUUACGAGCUUAUAGAGGAGAUACAAUCUAUGUCAAUGUUCAUACCGGAGGCAGACACAAUAUCACUAUUCACUGGCAUGGAGUAAGGCAACCAAGGAAUCCAUGGUCUGAUGGUCCGGAAUACAUCACACAAUGUCCUAUCCAACCUGGGGGAAGUUUCAACCAAAAGAUCAUAUUUUCUACAGAAGAAGGCACCCUUUGGUGGCACGCUCAUAGUGAUUGGUCUCGUGCUCCAGUUCAUGGAGCAAUUUAUGUCUAUCCGAAGCCAGGAACUAGCCACCCUUUUCCCAAGCCCCAUGCUGAAAUUCCCAUAAUAUUAGGUGAGUGGUGGAAGCAAGAUGUAAUGAAGGAAUUUCAAGAAUUUGUUAGAUCAGGAGGACCUCCAAAUGUAUCUGAUGCAUACACCAUAAAUGGUCAACCUGGAGACCUCUAUCCUUGCUCAAAAUCAGAUACAUUCAAACUCUCAGUGGAGUAAAACAAGACCUACCUGCUCCGUAUAGUAAAUGCCAUAGUGAACGAGAUCGUCUUCCUCGCGGUGGCAAACCAUAACCUCACGGUGGUGGUGGUGGCGACAGACGCAAGCUACACAAAGCCAAUCGAAACAGACUACAUCACAAUCUCUCCUGGCCAGUCCAUGGAUGUCUUGUUGGUCACGAACCAACAACGUCCCGGUCUCUACUACAUGGCUGCUAGGGCUUACAACGGUAACCCAGUAGUUGGUUUCGACACCACCACCACCACAGCAAUAGUUGAGUACAACAAUGGAAAUGGGAACAAGAAUGAUACUCCAUUAUUUCCCUACCUUCCUGGUUUCAAUGACACAGCAAGAGCCUUUGGUUUUUUCAGCAGACUCAAGAGCCUACCAGUUGAUUUCAAGGAGCCUGUCCCGAAAACCAUUGACCGUCGCAUAAUUUCAACAAUUGCAAUCAACACAUUCCCUUGCCAGGGAAACCAAACAUGUCAAGGACCCAACGGGACUCGUUUAGCUGCCAGCAUGAACAACAUAAGCUUUGUGGAGCCAAAUACAGUAGACAUACUUGUAGCUUACUACUACUACAUCAAUGGAGUUUUCAAAAAAGGUUUUCCGAAUUAUCCGCCGUACGCGUAUAACUUCACUGGUCAGAACCUGCCUCUGGUUUUGCAAAUACCAAAGAGAGGGACGAAGGUGAAGGUUAUAGAAUAUGGGACGGAUAUGGAAGUUGUGUUUCAAAAUACCAACUUAGUGGGUGGGUUAGAUCAUCCCAUGCAUCUUCAUGGGUUUGAUUUCUACAUUAUUGGAACUGGUUUUGGGAAUUUUGAUGAACAAAAUGACCCAAAGAGCUACAAUCUUGUUGAUCCUCCUCUUAGGAACACAGUCACUGUCCCCAUAAGCGGAUGGGAUGCAAUUAGAUUCAAGGCCAACAAUCCUGGUGUGUGGUACCUGCACUGCCAUUUCGACCGUCACCUGACGUGGGGAAUGGACACGGUUUUCAUCGUGAAUAAUGGGAAACACAAGAAGGAAAAGUUGCUGCCUCCGCCACCAGAUAUGCCACCAUGUUAUUAA